rnacentral:lncRNA from 1 species
AGACUGCACAGAAAGCACCCCGGCCCCUUCUGGGGAUGUGUGCCAUACUCAUGGUGCAGCUCUGCAGCCUCCUCCUGAAAGCACUUCCUCCAGAGAUCCUGUGCUGAUGAAACAGACUUGUGAAUAUGGCUCCUGAUCCACAGGAUGCAACCUGAACCACAGAAAAUGCUGAGUUCUCCAGAGGCUGUCUUCGUGCCCUGCCUGUUUCCCUUAAGUGUUCAAUGUGUGCUGAUGGCUUCCUGCUGUGAGGGCCUGAGACUGUCCCUGGAGAGCUUCCUAAGAAACAUCAGGGUUCUCACUCAGGGCGGGCAGGAAGCGCUGAGGAGCUGAUGCCUUAAGAACGACCUUCAGCCAAUGAUGGGAAGGACUGAAGGUUGAGCGCAGCAGACUCCUUCCCUCAGGAGGCACAGCUCUGUGGCCUGGGCUCCACAGGGUCCUCUGGAGUUCUGCCUGAGCCCCGCUGUCCACAGCAGUGAUUGGCUCUUUAAUAAGCAGUGUCUUCUCUCUCCUCCCUCUGCCUCUUCACCCUUCUCAACUGCGCUUUCUGGGUUCAUCUCCUGAAUAAACACUUGUUCUAAAAUC